CCUACGGGAGACAGCAGUGGGGAAUAUUGCACAAUGGGGGAAACGCUGAUGCAGCAACGUCGCGUGAGUGAAGAAGUAUAUCGGUAUGUUAAGCUCUAUCAGCAGGGAAGAAGUAAGACGGUACCUGACUAAGAAGCCCCGGCUAACUACGUGCCAGCAGCCGCGGUAAUACGUAGGGGGCAAGCGUUAUCCGGAUUUACUGGGGGUAAAGGGAUCGUUGAGCGCUGUGCAAGUCUGAGGGGAAAGCGCGUGGGUCACCCGCUGAUCUGCCAUUGAAACUGUAUGACUCGAGUACAGACGAGGUAGGCGGAAUAAGUAAAGUAGCGGUGAAAUGCGUAGAUAUAAGGUAGAACACCGAUAGCGAAGGCAGCUUACCAGACAGAGACUGACGUUGAAGCACGAGAGCGUGGGGAGCGAACAGGAUUAGAUACCCUUGUAGUC
rnacentral:rRNA from 1 species